GACGAACGCGGGGGCGUGCUUAACACAUGCAAGUCGAACGGUGAAGGGAUCAGCUUGCUGUUUCUGGAUGAGUGGCGAACGGUGAGUAACACGUGAGUAACCUGCCCCCUUUUCUGGAUAACCGCAUGAAAGUGUGGCUAAUACGGGAUAUUCUGGGUCUGUCGCAUGGCGGGCCUGGGAAAGAUGCGCCUUUGGGUGUUUUUGGUGGGGGAUGGGCUCGCGGCCUAUCAGCUUGUUGGUGGGGUGAUGGCCUACCAAGGCGGUGACGGGUAGCCGGCCUGAGAGGGUGGACGGUCACACUGGGACUGAGACACGGCCCAGACUCCUACGGGAGGCAGCAGUGGGGAAUAUUGCACAAUGGGCGCAAGCCUGAUGCAGCGACGCCGCGUGAGGGAUGGAGGCCUUCGGGUUGUAAACCUCUUUCGCCAGUGAAGCAGGCCUGCUCCUUGUGGGUGGGUUGACCGGAGCUGAUAAG
rnacentral:rRNA from 1 species